rnacentral:rRNA from 1 species
GUGUCAGCCGCCGCGGUAAUACGUAGGGGGCGAGCGUUAUCCGGAAUCAUUGGGCGUAAAGGGCGCGUAGGCGGAUAUUUAAGUCAGGUGUGAAAACCCAGGGCUCAACCCUGGAUCUGCAUCUGAUACUGGGUAUCUUGAGGACAGGAGAGGAAAGUGGAAUUCCUAGUGUAGCGGUGAAAUGCGUAGAUAUUAGGAGGAACACCAGUGGCGAAGGCGACUUUCUGGACUGUAACUGACGCUGAGGCGCGAAAGCGUGGGGAGCAAACAGGAUUAGAAACCCCCGUAGUCC